rnacentral:antisense_RNA from 1 species
AAUUUUGGAAUCUUCUUUGUGGAAACCGUCAGGAAACACUGACAUGUGUUUUCACCCAGCAGCAGGCGAAAGGGCUUGGAUGUGGAAUAAGAAUAGCUGGCAGAUGAUUGAGCUAUAGGCUCCAGAGGAAAGGUACACUCCACACCAGCUCCAGAGAACGAGAAAAGACUUCCCGGAGGAGAUGGUGCUAAAUCCGAAGGGACCAUUAAGGAUGACUAGCGGGAUAUUGAUGAAGCUUAAGGUCUCAUGCCCAGGAUGCUUUCUUAUAGGCCAAAUGGUAUCACUCCAUUCUACUGGUGUCAGCUGCUUGAAAUAGUGUAGACAUAGAGAAUUCUGGGACGCGUGUCGCUCAGAAAUAAUGUCAAAGUCCUGGCUGAAGGUAUCUACAUUACCCACGAAUUGCUGUAUAUGAGUGGAAUGUACAAGCAUGGAUGCAACAGCAAGAGAACUAAAUUUGUUUUGUGCUUCAAA